GACGAACGCUGGCGGCGUGCUUAACACAUGCAAGUCGAACGAUGAACCGGAGCUUGCUCUGGGGAUUAGUGGCGAACGGGUGAGUAACACGUGGGCAACCUGCCCCAGACACCGGGAUAACCAUUCGAAAGGAUGGCUAAUACCGGAUACGACCACUUCGGGCAUCCGAUGGUGGUGGAAAGGAUUCUGGUCUGGGAUGGGCCCGCGGCCUAUCAGCUUGUUGGUGGGGUAAUGGCCUACCAAGGCGACGACGGGUAGCCGGCCUGAGAGGGCGACCGGCCACACUGGGACUGAGACACGGCCCAGACUCCUACGGGAGGCAGCAGUGGGGAAUAUUGCGCAAUGGGCGAAAGCCUGACGCAGCGACGCCGCGUGAGGGACGAAGGUCUUCGGAUUGUAAACCUCUUUCAGCAGGGAUGAAGCGAAAGUGACAGUACCUGCAGAAGAAGCAACCGGCUAACUACGUG
rnacentral:rRNA from 1 species